rnacentral:lncRNA from 1 species
ACAACUGAAUAGGCAGGAUUAUACUGCAAUGGGUUGGGGUAGGUCUGCAAAAACGAUUAAACAAUGACAUAAUGGUAUGUGAGAAUCCUUCACUCCUACAUACAACAGACAAGUAUAAUAAACAGCUUAUUUAACCAUCUUCAAGUCAGAACAACGAAACGAUGGUGCGUAUACAGUGACAAUAUUGAUCUUGGACACUUGUACAAUCCUAGCAUCCUACAAUUGAUAUAUAGGGAAACAUUAAAACCGUACCAAAAACUUCAGGAUUUUACUGAAUUGAUGAAAAAAAUAAAAGAUCAAAAGAACAAUAAUGCAAAAAAUUAUUUGCAUCCAUUCAACCAUGCAAGAUCCAGUCACAGAAAGUCCAAAACAGAAUCACAAAUAUUCCAGUAGAAUAUACAUGCACUUAAUAAUAUACGAAACAUAAACACAAAUAAAUCACAAAUACCCCGACUAGAAAUAUACAAAGAACAAAAUCAAUCGAAUUAAAAUAAAUAAACAACAAUAAUAUUGCACAAGAGAAACCACUUCAGACCGGUUCAAAGCGAUCAAUCACAUAGACAAUGUGAGUCAUUCUUUCAAUUGAAUUCUAGAACGCUCACGCAUAUAUGUAUAUACAUAUAUGAAUAUAUAAAUUUAUAUAUAUAUAGAGAGAGAGAGGGAGGUCGGGGAUGUAAUUGGACCACAAGGUGAGGAACAUGUGGUCGAGAAUCCGUAACCGGCGUCUCAGGUGGAGCAACACUUAGCCUAGGAACGGAAUUGCACGGGCCCAACGGGCAGUGGAGUCACCGUAUAUCUCGGAGUGGUUGGUCGGGAUUGAAGUGGGAGAGUGGGAGUUGACAGGGUCGAAGCAGCGGAACCGAGGAGUAGUGAUGAGAGAGGAUCUCGAUAUCUUUUUCAUUGGAGCGAGACGGCGGCGAAGAAGGCGAGUGCGUAGUUUGUGAUAUGCACGGCGUUUAAAUCGGUGGGAAUCGGCAUUGACUUGGACUGACU